rnacentral:rRNA from 1 species
UAUUAUUUAGAAUAUAAAAUUUUAUACUAAAGUAGUAAUAGUUAUGUUCUUGAAACUUUAAAAAUUUGGCGGUAUUUUAAUCUAUCCAGAGGAACCUGUUUUAUAAAUGAUAAUCCACGUUGGACCUUACUUAAGUUUGUUAUUCAGAUUAUAUACCGUCGUUAUCAGAAUAUUUUAUAAGAAUAAUAAUAUUCAAAAAUUUUUAUUAAAAUUUAUAUCAGAUCAAGGUGUAUCUUAUAUUUAAGUAAUAAUGGGUUACAAUAAAAUUAUUUAUAUGGAUAAAAUUAUGAAAAAAUUUUUGAAAUUGGAUUUGGUAGUAAAAUUAUAAAGAUUAAUAAUUUGAUUUUAGCUCUAAAAUAUGUACAUAUCGCCCGUCGCUCUUAUUAUUAAAAUAAGAUAAGUCGUAACAUAGUAGAUGUACUGGAAAGUGUAUCUAGAAUGA